rnacentral:rRNA from 1 species
GACGAACGCUGGCGGCGUGCUUAACACAUGCAAGUCGAACGGAAAGGCCCCUUUGGGGGUACUCGAGUGGCGAACGGGUGAGUAACACGUGAGUAACCUGCCCUUGACUUCGGGAUAACUUCAGGAAACUGGGGCUAAUACCGGAUAGGAAUCCUUGCUGCAUGGUGGGGGUUGGAAAGCUUCGGCGGUUUUGGAUGGACUCGCGGCUUAUCAGCUUGUUGGUGGGGUAGUGGCUUACCAAGGCUUUGACGGGUAGCCGGCCUGAGAGGGCGACCGGCCACAUUGGGACUGAGUGACGGCCCAGCCGCCUACGGGAGGCAGCAGUGGGGAAUGUUGCACAAUGGGCGGAAGCCUGAGGCAGCAACGCCGCGUGGGGGAUGACGGCCUUGGGGUUGAAAACCGCUUUCAGCAGGGGCGAAGCUUGUGGUGACGGUACCUGAAGAAGAAGCACCGGCUAACUACGUG